rnacentral:tRNA from 1 species
AUUAAGGUGUCUGAUAUAUAGGUGAUAAAUUGUAAAUUUAUUUAAGAAAAUUUUCCCUUAAUA